GAAAUUUCAGCUUGCUUUACUAAAGGAAUAUUUCAAACAUACAAGAAAAUACAGAUGUCCUCUAAACCAACUCAUACAGUGUACACAUAUUUAGCUUCGCCAGAAUCACUGAUUCAAUCAGUUAUCUAUUGAGUAUUUACUACGCAUUGAAUCCUGCUCUACUGAAAAAAAAGUUCCAGUCCGGUGCAGUACAUAUGCUGUUAGGAGAACACAG
rnacentral:lncRNA from 1 species